UGGGCUGGUUUUGUAGAUACUUACGAGAAAUGGUUGGGUCCUCUUCCCAGCAAGAUUCAUCUGGGGAAGGUGGGCAGUUAUAUUUCAUUUGAACCAUUGAAAUUUUCAACAAUCAUCUUGCCCACAUCA